UACGUAGGGUGCAAGCGUUGUCCGGAAUUAUUGGGCGUAAAGAGCUCGUAGGCGGUUUGUUGCGUCGGCUGUGAAAUCCCGAGGCUCAACCUCGGGUCUGCAGUCGAUACGAGCAAACUAGAGUGUUGCAGGGGAGACUGGAAUUCCUGGUGUAGCGGUGAAAUGCGCAGAUAUCAGGAGGAACACCGGUGGCGAAGGCGCCACUCUGGGCCGAAACUGACGCUGAGGAGCGAAAGCGUGGGUAGCAAACAGG
rnacentral:rRNA from 1 species